ensembl:lncRNA
UACACACAGCUCCUCAUUCGGCCGUCUGUCCUGCCGCUGAUUCAUUGUCUGAACGGCACAAAGACAAAGCGGGCGGCGUGUGAUAAACGAUGAUUAGCGUGAGAGGUGAGCGGCAGACGGGUGACGGACAGAAACAAGGCCAGGAAUGCCAACAGCCUUCGGGCGCCGUUGCCAGGGUCGAACCUCUGCCUCAGGCUGCCAAUCAAACGUCCCGUGUAAGAACCCGAUAAGACCGGCACCCACUGAUCAUCUGGAUUUAAAUGAAAAUGAAAUUUCCCCAAACUGGUCCUCAACAUCAUAUUCAGCUCUCUUUGUUUCUAUGACAUAUUCACGAAGUCUUGCAAUGUAGUGGCUUCUCAUUAAAGUCUGCUAUAGUUCACCUCUAAACUUGGUGUAGCUCAGGAAAGUGCAACAGUGACACAGUAAAGAGCGGAUGGUACAUGACAGAUAAACUGAUGGAGCUUAAUCAUGGUAGAUUGAAAGGGACCAGUUUUAAAAUUAAGUAAAUGAUGAAAAUGUUUAUUUUAAUAUGCAGUUGGCUCCCUUUCUGUUUCAUAAAUAGAUAGAUAAUCUAUAUAUCUGUCUGUCUGUUUAUCUAUCUAUCAGACAUGGUUACAAAGCAACUUCUUGCAGAGAGAAUCAGAGAAAGUCAGAUAUAAAGCCCUUAAAGAACCAACAUACAGUAUAUUAGUAAAAUGGCAAGUAGAAUGUCAAAAUAACAAAUUAUUUUAAAUAAAUCCUGUUUUUGGAAAAAGAAGCAUCUAGCGUUUUAAAUCAAGACACGACCAAGUUGUGUUGGAUAGAUCAUACUAGACUGACUCAUGGGCAUUUAUUGAAGAGUGAAGGAAGAAGAACCAAAAUGUCAAUAGUGUAGCACCGGCUUGUCUAUAAAACUUGUAUUUUUGGUCUAAUGUUUUGAGACAGCUGUGUUUAUCUGAAAAAAGUUUUAAGGACUUGUUUAUGGACCCAGAAAAACUUUUACAAUUUUUAUAACGGGUACAUUUAAAGAAUGUUUUAUAGAAUUAUGCUUAAUCUUGUCUUUUUGUACAAGUCAAAUGUUAUAAAAAUGUUUUUAUUAUUAUUGUUAUAUUGAAUUUGAUAUUAUUUUGUUGAUAAUAGCCAGUGAAGUUGAAAUACCAAUAAUUUCAAAUACAACCAACAGUCUGUCUAUCUGUCUUUCUGCAUUCAUUCUAUCGUUUGUAUCAUUCUUCUGUCUGUCUG